UACGAAGGGGGCUAGCGUUGCUCGGAAUCACUGGGCGUAAAGCGCACGUAGGCGGCUUUUUAAGUCAGGGGAUGAAUCCUGGAGCUCAACUCCAGAACUGCCUUUGAUACUGAGAAGCUUGAGUCCGGGAGAGGGUGAGUGGAACUGCGAGUGUAGAGGUGAAAUUCGUAGAUAUUCGCAAGAACGACCAGUGGCGAAGGCGG
rnacentral:rRNA from 1 species